GACGAACGCUGGCGGCGGGCUUAACACAUGCAAGUCGAACGGAAAGGCCCUGCGUUCGUGGGGUGCUCGAGUGGCGAACGGGGGAGUAACACGUGUGUAACCUGCCCUUGACUUUGGGAGAACUUCAGGAAACUGGGGCUAAUACCGGAUAGGAGCUCCUGCUGCAUGGUGGGGGGUGGAAAUUUUCGGCGGUCGCGGAUGGACUCGCGGCUUAUCAGCUUGUUGGUUGGGGAGUGGCUUACCAAGCCUGGGACGGGUAGGCGGCAUGAGAGGGUGAACGGGCACCAUGGGACUGAGAUACGCACCAGACUCCUACAUGAGGCAGCGGUGGGGAAUAUGACACAAUGGGCGCAAGCCUGAUGAAGAAACGCUGGGUGCGGAAUGACGGCUUUCGGGUUGUGAACCGCUUUCGCCUGAUACGAAGCGUGAGUGACGGUAAUGGGUAAAGAAGCACCGGCUAACUACGUG
rnacentral:rRNA from 1 species